UACGUAGGCAGCAAGCGUUGUUCGGAGUUACUGGGCGUAAAGGGUGCGUAGGCGGUUGUUUUAAGUUUGGUGUGAAAUCUCCCGGCUCAACUGGGAGGGUGCGCCGAAUACUGAAUGACUAGAGUGCGGGGAGAGGAGAGUGGAAUUCCUGGUGUAGCGGUGAAAUGCGUAGAUAUCAGGAGGAACACCGGUGGUGUAGACGGCUCUCUGGACCGUAACUGACGCUGAGGCACGAAAGCGUGGGUAGCAAACAGG
rnacentral:rRNA from 1 species